GACGAACGCUGGCGGCGUGCUUAACACAUGCAAGUCGAACGGAAAGGCCCUGCUUUUGUGGGGUGCUCGAGUGGCGAACGGGUGCGUAACACGUGAGUAACCUGCCCUUGACUUUGGUAUAACUUCAGGAAACUGGGGCUACUACCGGAUCGGAGCUCCUGCUGCAUGGUGGGGGUUGGAAAGUUUCGGCGGUUGGGGAUGGACUCGCGGCUUAUCAGCUUGUUGGUGGGGUAGUGGCUUACCAAGGCUUUGACGGGUCGCCGGCCUGAGAGGGUGACCGGCGACAUUGGGACUGAGAGACGGCCCAGACUCCUACGGGAGGCAGCAGUGGGGAAUAUUGCACAAUGGGCGGAAGCCUGAUGCAGCAACGCCGCGUGCGGGAUGACGGCCUUCGGGUUGUAAAACGCUUUCGCCUGUGACGAAGCGUGAGUGACGGUAAUGGGUAAAGGAGCACCGGCUAACUACGUG
rnacentral:rRNA from 1 species